rnacentral:lncRNA from 1 species
GGACGUGCAGUGAUGUGAGAGCCUUCGCUUCUUCUUAUGAACCUACUGACCAUCUCCACAAUCUGCUUCUCCCUCGCUUCUCUACGGAGCUUUAUAUCACCAUCAGCUCAAAGUGUGCUGCGCUUUGUCUCCAGCUCCUCUUCAUCAUCGACCUCCUGGGUCCGCCGCCGCAGCACCUCAUGAAGGCUGCACAGAAAUCUAAAGUGUGUUUUAAGAAGACAGACUGUGGUCAGUGGAGGCUCAAGACACCUGAGGAGUAUUGGGGUCCCGAUCUUUCAUCACAUGACGACAGGAAGUACACGUUCCGCUCUCUGGACGAAGGGAAAAUGCUGUGUCUGGAGCAGGACAACGUGACAGAGGCUGAUGAGAGGAGGGAGUGCAUGGAGCUGUUGAAGGAGA